CAGUAGCCGCGGGAAUACGAGGGGGGCAAGCGUUGUUCGGAAUUAUUGGGCGUAAAGGGUGCGUAGGCGGUUUGGCAAGUUUGGUGUGAAAUCUUCGGGCUCAACUCGAAGUCUGCAUCGAAAACUGCCGGGCUUGAGUAUGGGAGAGGUGAGUGGAAUUUCCGGUGUAGCGGUGAAAUGCGUAGAUAUCGGAAGGAACACCUGUGGCGAAAGCGGCUCACUGGACCAUAACUGACGCUGAUGCACGAAAGCUAGGGGAGCAAACAGGAUUAGAUACCCCUGUAGUCCCUGUCUCUUAUAC
rnacentral:rRNA from 1 species